UGCCCGAUACAAAUGCCCAAACUUGGCUCAACUGAUGAGAGGAGCCCAGUACUUGGCUUUUUAGGGUUUCACAGCCGUCAUUCACCUCUCUCUCUCUCCUCCCCGUCAUUCACCUCUUUCUCUCAUUUCAAACUCAGGCCCUCUCUCCUCUCCUCCAUCAAUCUUCCCCUUAACAACAAGUGAAGAUCUCUAAACCUAACAACUGAUGAACAAUUCUUAGAUAAUUUAGGAUAUCUUUGCCGAAAACUUCAACCAUUUUAGAUCGUGAGUGGCCUCUUCAUGUUAGGUUUUGUUUUACGCAACCUCUACAAUGCUGGCAUUCUUACUAAUUUUGAAGUACUUGAUUUAUUACAUACGAGAGGGGCUGCCAAGGAACCUACCCGGGCCAUGGGUUUGUUAAAAUCGUCUAAAUUCAAGGUUUAUGAUUAUUUGGUUGAGAGUGCUGCUUGUGAUCAGACUAGAGAAAGUAUCAAUGAUCUUAUAGAGAAAUUUAAAGAGUAUCAACUACCUAAAGCUGAGUUGAUAAACAUCAUUAACAAUCACCCCUCUUCCGCAGUCGAAUUGGCUCCGGUUGGACUUUGAUGGAGGAGGAAAUGAGGAAGUCGGUGAAAGCAAUGCAGACUCUGAGGACCUGUCUUUGAUCAGAAAACAACUUCUUCAGAUAGAGAGACAGCAAUCUGAUAUGAUGGUUCUCAUCCAGAGAUUUAUGGGUAAUUCUCAAAGUGGGAUUGGCUCUUUGGAGAAUAGAGUAUCUGGCAUCGAGAGAGCAUUGAAUGAGAUCUCACAUGAUUUAGUUGUGCAAAGAGGAAGAAUUGCCAACAAUGACUUAGCAGGAAGCACUUGCUGUCCUAGUACAUAAUUCCUGAGUACGAAAUUCUGGAGAAGAACAGAAGGAAGGUCGUCCUCAAUUCCAAAGUCAUCCUAUUCAGGAAGUAUGUCUAGUAGUCUCAAAGCUGCUCCACAGAUGGAUGGUUUUAAGCACCACGAGCAGAACGAAGGCUUUUAUUUGGAGCCAUGGGGAAGUGUCAAAGGCAUAGGCCAAACUGCCCAGAGAGGAAGAAAUUAUAGUCCCAGAAGCUUUGAUUCAGCUUCCACUACUGCUUGUUUUAAUUCAGUUGUUCGAGGAGCAUAAACUACAGGUUAAUGAAGUUCUUGAAGAUCGUAGUCAAGUUGAAACUAUUUGAAUGCUACUUUUGUUGGUGUUUAUAAUGGGUAAGCCUCCAAAUAUGCAAUUAAUUUAGCUUAGCGAGCUUGUUUUUUUGUACAUGUUAUUGGAUAAAUUGGACUUUUAACAUUAUCAUUAUACCAGAGGGAGAAAGAUGGUGGGUGGAAAUGGGAUUGGAGACAUGAAGGAGACACAAGAGAUGAUCGAUUUUCUUUUGCUCUAUUUUUUAGGUUUUUUUUGACAAAAUAAACAGCUCAUAAAUUUGAGAAGCCUCGUGAUAAAAAAAUGCCUUGGAGUUGAUGAGUUCAUGUGCAAAUGCUGUCAUGGAGGAAUACGCUGACAUAAUAUUUUCAUAUGGAUAUAGCGAUGAAUUUAGUUUUGUAUUAAAAAAGGAGUCCAAAUUUUACUAGAGACGUGAAAGGUUUGUGGUUGAAUCUACAUUCAGAUGUUAGUACAUGGGAUUCACAAAUUUCCUUGUUGACAUACUGAUGUUUUAAUUGCUGUUUCAUAUUGCUUUAUUUUCCCCUUUUAUUAUGAACUACUGAGCCCAGUUUAGUUUUAGUUAUUAGGCGAUAAUAAAUGUAUUUUUUUUGGUGAUUGUAUAAAUACAAAA